rnacentral:rRNA from 1 species
GAUGAACGCUGGCGGUAUGCUUAACACAUGCAGGUCGAACGGAAUGCUUAGGCAUUUAGUGGCGGACGGGUGAGUAACGCGUGAGAAACUGCAUUCAGGUCGGGGACAACCACUGGAAACGGCGGCUAAUACCGGAUGUGCCGGAAGGUGAAAGGCUUGCCGCCUGAGAAAAGAGCUCGCGUCUGAUUAGCUAGUAGGGGGUGUAAGAGACCACCUAGGCGACGAUCAGUAGCUGGUCUGAGAGGAUGAUCAGCCACACUGGGACUGAGACACGGCCCAGACUCCUACGGGAGGCAGCAGUGGGGAAUUUUCCG